UACGUAGGGGGCGAGCGUUAUCCGGAUUUAUUGGGCGUAAAGCGUGUGUAGGCGGUCUAUUAAGUUUAAGAUCAAAGCCCGGGGCUCAACUCCGGUUCGUCUUAAAAACUGGUAGACUUGAGUGCAGUAGAGGCAAGCGGAAUUUCUAGUGUAGCGGUUAAAUGCGUAGAUAUUAGAAGGAACACCAGUGGCGAAGGCGGCUUGCUGGGCUGUUACUGACGCUGAGACACGAAAGCGUGGGGAGCGAAUAGG
rnacentral:rRNA from 1 species